rnacentral:misc_RNA from 1 species
GGAAGUAAAAGUCGUACAAGGUCUCCGUUGGUGAACCAGCGGAGGGAUCAUUACCGAGUUUACCAACUCCCAAACCCCAUGUGAACCUACCGUACCACGUUGCUUCGGCGGUGCCGCCCCGGGCGCGGGCCUCUCGUAGGCCGCCAGCCCCGGAACCAGGCGCCCGCCGGAGGACCCCAAACUCCACUGUAUUUACUGCGGCUUGCUCUGAGUUCGCGCUCCCCGGAGCGCGAGGAUAAACAAAAAUGAAUCAAAACUUUCAACAACGGAUCUCUUGGCUCUG